AUUGUCUUUCCUCUGCUCCCAUGAGUCUUAGACCUUCAACAAACUAAUGCGGUAAGUCUUCUCCUUUAAAAUUUACAAGACUGACAUAAUUUCUUACACUGAUAAAUUCCCAUUUAGGUUUUCCAAGUGUGUUCUUAAAUUCCCGAUUGUCCCCAUGUUUGUCCGGCCACCUCAUUUUGCCUUAUUAUUGUUUAUAGUUGUUUUUUAUUUGUUUCUCUUUAACACUUAAGUGUCUCUUAACACUUAGAUGCACCGUGUCUUUCCCACGUACUGAAUGAUCUAAGGGAAAGUUGGCUUUUCUAAUCAAACAUUGAUCACCUACGACAAAAGAUGUGACAUUAUGUGUAGGUGUUAGAGACAAUUAAUAAAUAGGAAAAUGAAAACAAACACAAAUAAUUUUCCUUCACCUCUCAUUUCUUUCCCAUCAAGUAUCAAACACAAUUAAGGGUUCUGGGCAGACGACUUCAAAGUUAAAGUGCUUACUGCCUAAGAAUGAGGACUGGAGUUUGCAUGCCCCAAACCCUUGAAAGUGUUGUGAAGGUGAAGCAACCCUGCUCUAAUUCCAGCCUCAAGCUGGCUGGUGAGAUUGAGACACCUUAUGUCUGUGAAUGAUAUGGGGAACAACUGAGGAUGAUUCCAAACACUAACCUUGGGCUUUCGUGCGUAUGUACACAGACCUGUACAGGCACAAGCACACACAUAAACAUAGAUACACACCUAUGCAUGUAUCCCUGUAUAUAUGCUACACAUACACAUACAUACACACACACACACACUUAUACAUGUGUCCCUAUACAUACACACCACAAGCACAUACCCUUUUUGUACAUGCUUCCAUACAUACAUAACACAUACAUAAGAUACAUACACAAACACAAGCACACACACACACACACACCUAUACAUAUCUUCCCACACAUAAACAACACACACACACACACACACACACACACACACACACACACACACAGUGGGGAAGUGAUUACUAUUAGUGACUGUCAUUAUAUAUGAGCCAUCUAAGAUGCAUAAUUAUACCUUAUCCUGUGGUAAAUAUAUACACUAAUUUAAAAAUGAGUAGCUUUGAUCAGGUAAAAUAAUGAACACUAGAAAUCAAGCUUUUAUAAAAUGACAGAAUUGAUAUGCAGACAUGGCCAGUCCAGAGUCAUUAUUUAUUAUUAUAUACUACUGUAACUGCAGACAAGAAAAGGGCCAUCACAUCUCUUCUAAGCACUUUUGGAAGAAUAGGCUGGCACCCAUAGCAGGAGGUAUGUUGUAGAGUUAGGAAGAUUCUAACAAUUUAGCUCUUUAAGAAAAGAUUCCCCAAGAACACUAUACUUUAUUUUACACCUUAAAAUUAAUUCUCCUGAUGUUCAAAGUCGUCCAUUAGAUGAAUUGCUUGACUUGUUCAUAAAGAGUCAUCAGCCUGAAGGUUUCAACGUAAAGGCAGUUAGGAAGACCUCAGUGGGGUCAAGUGCAAAUGUUUCUCUGACUGUAUUAGCUGAGAUUGCUGUAUUUUCUCAGCUCACUGCGCAUUGUGCUAUUUCUCUGUCCAGUGUUUACCGUAAGUUUCCUUUUUGUUUAAGGAACUUUUUGGGGGGUUUUUAGCAUCAAAAUAAAAUACCCAUUAAAGAAGUCUCUGUGUUAUUCGAUGCUGUGAACUUGGAUUCUUACUCAAGACAGCGCAUGACACCACUAAACAUUUAACUAGAAAGC
rnacentral:lncRNA from 1 species